rnacentral:misc_RNA from 1 species
UUUCCGUAGGUGAACCUGCGGAAGGAUCAUUAUUGUAUAACCGAGGUGCGAGGGCUGUCGCUGACCCGAAAGGUCGUGCACGCCCGAGUGCCCUCACACACAUCCAUCUCACCCUUAUGUGCACCACCGCGUGGGUCCCCCUUUGGCUUGUUCGGAGGGGGGCUUACGUUGUCACACAAACUUUGUAUGCAGUGUAGAAUGUAUUUUUUGUUUUUGCGAUCACGCAAUCAAUACAACUUUCAACAACGGAUCUCUUGGCUCUC